UGAAGGAAGGGGCUGGCAGAUUGUGUUACUUUCAUUAAACCAGUUUGAUUUAACUAAAUUACAUUACAACAACUUGUAUCUGUGGAAUCUUUGUGUUGGUCACGACAACUGUCAGCCCCUGCCUAUGCGGGUCUUGGACCCAACUCUGAGGAGUUUAGAACUCCUCACCCUACAGACGGACAGAAGCAGACAAGAAGAUCCACAAGUGCCUGAGAGUGAAGAGAUGUCUUCAUCCACUUCCACCGAGCAAGAACCCUCCUCACUCCAAAGGGAAGAAGACCAGCAUCAGGAAGAUCAUCACUCUGCCAUUGAUUCUAAUUCAAUGACAACAACAACAGCAAAUA